AAGCGCCUUCGCUGCGGUGCUGAAUGAAAGCCGCGGCAGGCGGGCAGGCGAGGGCGGAUUGGAAUGCCGCACUACUAAGCUAGGCUGCCGGGAGCCCUGCUCGCGUUUAUAUUGCCGCCGCCGCCGAGGCUGGAGAUGGGGAUGGUCCAUGCAUUGGCGCCGUCACGUGUUUUUCUCCUCGGUGUGAGACGGAGUGUCGGCGGCUGGAGGGGGCUGGCCUCAGAAACGCAGACGCAGCCGAUUGUUUUGGUGUCGGGGGCUUUUCAAUAAAAGUCCGCGGAGCUGCGAGUCCUGCGGCAGGAGCACAAGCGCCAAGUCCCGAGUCCAGCGAUCCGGCGGUGCCCGUUCCUGCCUGGCAGCGCUUUUUUUUUGGGGGGGGGGUGCCUCCUCCGUUGUGGAGCGCACGAGGAGGGGAAGGUGCUAGAGGACGAAGGGACUUCGCCGCCGCCGCCGCUGCCGCUAUUGCCUUCCGAGACUUUUCCGACUGGAAUGAAGAAAAGGAGGAGGAGGUGGAAGUCGCCCUCGCCGCCGCGAAAAUGUGCCUCCGCCUCCUUCGCUCCUCGGGCAGCUUCUCCGCUCUGUCUCCUUUGCGCUCGACCCUGCUGCAGCCGCCUGCGUGUAUUUGGUGUGGAAAAGACACUUUUUCUGCCUAACCAGACGGGACUGAAUGAGGUCGCUCGCUCUCUUCUCCUACGCGGGCUGGACGAGGAGUAGCGCCUGCAAUCGUGACGCUGAUUUGGGAUAUUGAUGUGUUUGUUUGCUUGUUGGAGUUCUCCACCCCGCCGCCGUGGUUCCCGCGAAGGAUAUUUUUAUUUGGCAUUUUGGGCGAGGAAGAAAACCCGGUGGCUUAUGUGGUGGUGUUGACUAGCUGGUUUCUUCUUACUGCCGUUAUUAUAUUACCAUUAUCGUUGUUGUUAUUUCAAAGGGAUUGCUGGUGUCCCUCAGACGUCCCACGUUUUCCCCCACUCCCCCUGCAAAACAAGCUCCCUUCUUCUCUGCCCUGCCCCGUGUCUCUCCUGCUGGUGAGUAUAUUUUAAUCGGCUCCUGGAAAUCUCUCGGAAGGAUAACUUGUGAAAAAGGAAAGGGCUAUUUGGGAGAAAAGACGGGGGAACCCCAUCCUGCUCCUGGCGCUGGAGGAAUUUCCACCCCGCAUGGAUGAAACGAUGCCCGCUUUUCUCUGCUCGUCGGCGGCUUUUCGGACCUGUUUCUCCUGGGGCUACAUCGAAACUAGACUUUUGAAAGCUGCGUUUCUCCUGCGGAGGGUGAUUUGGGAAUAAAAACUGCCACCCAAGCCCCUGUUCCUGGAGCUGGGAGGAGGCUCUGGCCACUGAACAGCUGUUCUCUCCCUGCCACUCUUUCCUCCGCCCCUCUGUUUUUGGAAAGGAUUUCCAGAACUAUCUUUCUGCGUCGUUUUUAUUUUUAUUUUGGAGUGAAGGAGGGGAUUUGCUGCUGCUGCUGCUGCGUGGAUUUCUGUUUUGUUGUUUCUUUCCAAAGCUGCUCUUUGCAGCAGAAACUGCUGUACCUUGUCUUUUUUUUUUCCAAGCAUGGCUAGCCCCACAGAUAAUAAUGAGGGCUUCUUCUCUGAUGUCAGGAAGGUGGGUUACUUGCGCAAACCCAAGAGCAUGCAUAAGCGCUUCUUCGUGCUGAGAGCAGCCAGUGAGUUGGGACCCGCCCGGCUGGAGUACUAUGAGAACGAAAAGAAAUGGAGACACAAAUCAGGGGCCCCCAAGCGCUCCAUUCCUCUGGAGAGCUGCUUCAACAUAAACAAGAGGGCAGAUUCCAAAAAUAAGCAUCUGGUGGCUCUCUACACCAAGGACGAGCACUUUGCCAUUGCUGCUGACAAUGAGCUUGAGCAAGAAAGCUGGUACCAGGCACUGCUGCAGUUGCACAACCGUGCCAAGAGCCAUCACCACCACCAUCAUCAGCACCAUCACCAUCACCACCACCGAGAUGUCACAGUGGGAGGUGGGACUUUGGGAAUGGGAGAGGCAGGGGAGGAUAGCUAUGGCGAUACGGCUCCUGGCCCAGCGUUCAAGGAGGUCUGGCAAGUGAUCCUGAAACCAAAGGGCCUGGGGCAAACCAAGAACCUGAUUGGAAUCUACCGCCUGUGCCUAACCAACAAGACAAUCAGUUUUGUUAAACUAAAUUCCGAUGCGGCAGCUGUUGUGUUACAGCUGCUCAACAUCCGGCGGUGUGGCCAUUCUGAGAAUUUUUUUUUCAUUGAGGUGGGGCGCUCUGCUGUCACGGGACCAGGUGAGUUCUGGAUGCAGGUAGAUGACUCGGUAGUAGCACAGAAUAUGCAUGAGACCAUCUUGGAGGCUAUGCGGGCAAUGAGUGAGGAAUUUCGGCCUCGGAGCAAAAGCCAGUCGUCUUCCAAUUGCUCCAAUCCUAUAUCUGUGCCUCUCCGUAGCAGGCAUCAUGUCAACAACCCGCCCCCCAGCCAGGUGGGACUUACUCGUAGGUCCAGGACUGAGAGCAUAACUGCCACUUCUCCUGCUAGCAGUGGUGUGGGAGGAGGGAUUGGAGGUAGACCCAGCUCUUUCCGUGUCAGAGCCUCUAGCGAUGGAGAAGGUACCAUGUCCAGACCAGCUUCAGUGGAUGGAAGUCCGAUGAGUCCGAGUGCCAACCGAACCCACUCACAUAGGCAUCGUGGCAGUUCCAGGCUUCAUCCCCCUCUCAACCACAGUCGCUCCAUCCCAAUGCCUUCCUCACGUUGUUCCCCUUCAGCCACUAGUCCAGUCAGCCUGUCAUCCAGCAGUACCAGUGGCCAUGGGUCCACUUCAGACUGUCUUUUCCCACGUCGAUCUAGUGCAUCAGUCUCUGGCUCUCCCAGUGAUGGAGGGUUCAUCUCCUCUGACGAAUAUGAGUCAAGCCCCUGUGACUUUCGCAGCUCAUUUCGUAGUGUUACCCCUGAUUCCCUGGGACACACCCCUCCUGCCCGGGGAGAUGAGGAGCUUAGCAACUAUAUAUGUAUGGGAGGGAAGGCUGCCUCAUCCUGCUGCAGUAUCACAACUCCUAAUGGUCAUUUUGCCCCCCGCACCUGCCAUCUGCAGCAGCAAAGUCGCUACCCUGCUGUCCCAUGUUGCCUCCGUCUUGGAAAUGAGGAUGUAGGUGAUUUUGAAAAAGGCUUCAGAAAGCGGACACAUUCUGCUGGAACCUCUCCUACCAUCUCACAUCAGAAGACUCCUUCCCAGUCUUCAGUGACCUCCAUUGAAGAGUAUACUGAGAUGCUUCCCUCAUAUUCUUGUAGUGGCAACAAGUUUUCUUCUUAUCGACAUUCUGCCUUUGUGCCAACCCAGUCUUAUCCCGAGGAGUGUCUAGAGAUGCACCAGGUGGAGGGAAACCACCACCGGACCAACUCUGAUGAUGGCUACAUGCCGAUGUUGCCAGGAGUGGCACCUAUGCCCAGUGGAGGUAGUACACCCAAAGGUGGAGAUUACAUGCCCAUGAGCCCCAAGAGUGUGUCUGCUCCGCAACAGAUCAUCAAUCCUGGGAGAGGAGGUCGCCACGUGCAGGCCAUGGUGGACUCAAAUGGCUACAUGAUGAUGUCUCCCAGUGGCAGUUGUUCUCCAGACAGUGGUCCCACUGGCUACAGCAAAUUAUGGAUAAAUGGGACUAAUAAUCAUACAAAACUCUCAGUCGAGAGUAAUGAGGGCAAGCUGCCAAGUGGAGGCAGUGAUUAUAUCAAUAUGUCUCCAGCUAGUGGUUCUGCUACCAGCACCCCUCCAGACUGUUACUUUACCAGCCCAGGACCUCCAGGCCCAGAAGAACCACUAGUGCAUGGUUCUGCCCAGUCCCAACAAAAACCCAUCUAUUCCUAUUUCUCCUUGCCCCGUUCCUUCAAGCACAACCAACGCAAGACAGGCAAAGAAGAAAAUGCCCAGAUGCAUAUGUCCUUCAGCUCUGGCCGCUUGCUUUAUGCCGCUGCUGAGGAUUCUUCUUCCUCUACUAGUAGUGAUAGUCUUGGCUGCCCUGGGGGACAAGAGGGUGGUGGGUAUUCUCUUCCCAUUAAAACACAGCCAUUGCAGCCUGCUGCUUUUACUGUGGACACAGCUGUGCGGACCAAGAAUCAUCUGGCCAGACCUACUCGUUUAUCCUUGGAUGGCCCAAAGGCCAGCACCUUGCCUCGCACUCGGGAACAGCUCCCAGAGCCCAAGAGCCCCGGAGAGUAUGUGAACAUUGAGUUUAAGCAACCAGUCUUCCCCUCACCUUUAUCCUACGGAGAGACUGGCUCCUGUUCAGAGGAGUAUAUGAAUAUGGAUUGGGGAACUGCUUGCCCAGCCAGCUUGGCCUCCAUGCAGUCAAGCCGGAAUGGGACCACCCACAGUGGCAACCGGGACUAUAUGAGCAUGCAGCUGAGUGGUGGAGCACCGUAUGUAGUAUGUGCCCACACCCCAUCACCUUCUUCCCCUGCCCUCCUGCUGAGUUAUUCUGAGAAAAGCCCACCACCCAUGCAGCUGCCUUCUCCACCUUCUCAGGCUCAGCCAAGCAAACUGGCUGAGAUUUUACCCCAUUCCUGCUCCUCAUCUAUGAUUGGGGGCCCAGGUGUGAACAGCGCCUUUACACAUGUCAGUCUUGGUCCCAAUUGCAGCACCCAGAGUGCCAAAGUGAUCCGUGCUGACCCCCAAGGAGGUCGGCGGCGCCAUAGUUCUGAGACGUUCGCUUCUUCUGUCACUCCUAGUAGUAGUCUUGGAGCCUCAGCUCUACUCCAUGGACCAGGAGGAGGUCCUGAUGAUCCAAAACAUCACAGUUCAGCCUCCUUUGAAAACGUCUGGCUCAAGCCUGCAUCUGGGGCACUGGGAGUUGCUUCUUUGGGUCUUGGUGCAACAUCACGGAGGGAGCAAGCAGCUAGUGGAACUGGGGGAGGCUUUGAGAAUGGGCUCAAUUACAUUGACCUGGACUUAGUGAAGGAUUUUAACCACAGCCAACAUCACCAUCGCAACCUCCACCCUCAGGAGAGUACUGGUCUGCUAGGAGUCAAGCAACCACCCCAGCAGCAUCAGCCACCUAAAUCUCCAAAGCAGCCUUGUGGGAGUAACCACUUGAGUGAUGAAUUAAGUGCAUAUGCCAGCAUUAGCUUCCACAAGCAGGAGGACAUCCAGUAGAAAUCGGAGACAAGAUUCCAUUUUAGCAUGAGAUUUUAACUACUUAGCAACAUGAUAAUUCAGUGAUAGUGCUGUAUAACAGAAUGAUGACCUAUACAACCUCAGAAAAAAAACCUUCUUCUUUGAACUCAUGGGUAUCCACAUUUGGUUUUGUGUAUCACAACUAGGACCUCAGUCUUCUUCCCCAGUAGAUGGGUACGAUGCAUCCAGUUCAAUUUGUUUACUUUACACAAACCUCAGGAGUUAAUUAACUGAACUGCACAUUCUCUUUCUUUUUUUAAAAAAAAUUUUUUUUGUUUGUGUGUGCCAUGCAAAAGCACUGUGACACCUGGACAAUGAGUCUAUGAUUGCUUCCUCCUUUAUCAUAGAGAUUUAACUGGCAACAGUAAAUUUAUGUGCCCGCCACUAUAAUAUAGUGAGAGUGGCUAUACUACUAGCUCAUCUAUGUAAAACAUAAAAUUUUAAUUUGCUGCUGAAAAACCUGUAUGACAAAUCAUAAGUGUAAAUUAUUACAUACAAACUGUUAAUGUUGGUUGACGAGUAUUAAAUAUUUAACAUAGGUUUUUGAUUUAUACAUGUACUUUUUUAAUUAAAAUGUAACUUUUCCUACAGCACAUCCUUUUUGAUGUGGAACUGAGGUAUACUAUAUUCUGUUAUAAACAGAGUGGGAUGGGUGGGGGAAACUGCUUAAAAAAAGGCAUUUUAAGAAUAGCUUAGGGUACUAUUCUUUUUAAGAUUGUAAUUCAGAAUAUAUUAUAUGGAUCAAUGGCCCAUGAACCUGGAUGUAUAGUCAUAUUUACUGAUAUCAUCAAUAACUACAAUUCAGCUGAAUUCUUUAAAAAUAUAAUAUUUUUUAUUCUUCCUGUGAAACAUUAUGAAAAGGCAAACUUAUUUGUGCAUGGUAUUUGCAAGUGUGAAUUUGAAAUUGUUGGUUGCACAGGAACGUAGACAAUAUCAGAAAAAUAAAGCUAAGUCUUCCAUUGUAUGUAUGUAUGUGUGUGUGUGCGCACCAGUGUGCCCCUAUAUGUGUGUGUGUGUUUAUAAAAUUAUAUGUGUGUGUAUAGGUAUGUGUGUAUAUAUACAUACACACACAUAUAUAAAUACUUAGAGAGUUAUAUAGGUACAAAGAAAAACAUCUGAAAUAUUGGCAAAUACUUCAAAUGAAAUUAUUCCUGGAAUGAAAUAUGUGGGCCUUUGUAAAUUCUGGAAAUCUCUUUCUAUACAUAAUAAACUAGGAACUGUUUUAUCUUUA